AAUUGCAGAUAGAGAUAUGCUGUACACUUGUGAAACCGAAUUAACGUUUAAGCGAUAUGUGCUAUCGCCGGACACAAGGGCCGCCUUUUUAGGCGGUUUUUUAU
rnacentral:sRNA from 1 species